rnacentral:rRNA from 1 species
AGUACCUGCCCCUGACUCUGGAAUAACCGUGGGAAACGACGGCUAAUACCGGAUAUGAGACGUCCACGCAUGUGAGCGUCUGGAAAGAUUUAUCGGUCUGGGAUGGACUCGCGGCCUAUCAGCUUGUUGGUGGGGUAAUGGCCCACCAAGGCGACGACGGGUAGCCGGCCUGAGAGGGCGACCGGCCACACUGGGACUGAGAUACGGCCCAGACUCCUACGGGAGGCAGCAGUGGGGAAUAUUGCACAAUGGGCGCAAGCUGAAUGCAGCGACGCCGCGUGGGGGAUGAAGGCCUUCGGGUUGUAACCCUUUCAGCAGGGAAGAAGCGAAAGUGACGGUACCUGCAGAAGAAGCGCCGGCUAACUACGUGCCAGCAGCUGCGGUAAUACGUAGGGCGCAAGCGUUGUCCGGAAUUAUUGGGCGUAAAGAGCUCGUAGGCGGUUUGUCGCGUCUGCUGUUAAAACCCGAGGCUCACCUCGGGCUUGCAGUGGGUACGGGCAGACUAGAGUUCGGUAGGGGUGACUGGGAAUUCCUGGUGUAGCGGUGGAAUGCGCAAAUAUCAGGAGGAACACCGAUGGCGAAGGCAGGUCACUGGGCCGCAACUGACGCUGAGGAGCGAAAACAUUGGGGAGCGAACAGGAUUAAAUACCCUGGUAGUCCAUGCCGUAAACGUUGGGCACUAGGUUUUGGGUCAUUCCACGAGUUCCGUGCCGCAGCAAACGCAUAAGUGCCCGCUGGGAGUACAGCGCAAGCUAAACUCAAAGAAUGACGGGGGCCCGCACAAGCGGCGGAGCAUGCGGAUUAAUUCGAUGCGACGCGAAGAACCUUACCAAGGCUUGACAUACACCGGAAAAAGUGCAGAGAUGUGCUCCCCGCAAGGUCGGUGUACAGGUGGUGCAUGGUUGUCGUCAGCUCGUGUCGUGAGAUGUUGGGUUAAGUCCCGCAACGAGCGCAACCCUCGUCCUAUGUUGCCAGCACGUUAUGGUGGGGACUCAUAGGAGACUGCCGGGGUCAACUCGGAGGAAGGUGGGGAUGACGUCAAAUCAUCAUGCCCCUUAUGUCUUGGGCUUCACGCAUGCUACAAUGGCCGGUACAAAGGGCUGCGAUACCGCAAGGUGGAGCGAAUCCCAAAAAGCCGGUCUCAGUUCGGAUUGGGGUCUGCAACUCGACCCCAUGAAGUCGGAGUCGCUAGUAAUCGCAGAUCAGCAACGCUGCGGUGAAUACGUUCCCGGGCCUUGUACAC